GGAAGUUGGGGGCAAUAACAGGUCUGUGAUGCCCUUAGAUGUCCUGGGCCGCACGCGCGCUACACUGACACACGCAGCGAGUCUUCCUUGUCCGAAAGGUCUGGGUAAUCUUGUAAAUGUGUGUCGUGAUAGGGAUAGAUUAUUGCAAUUAUUAAUCUUGAACGAGGAAUUCCUAGUAAAUGCGGGUCAUCAGCUCGCGUUGAUUACGUCCCUGCCCUUUGUACACACCGCCCGUCGCACCUACCGAUUGAAUGAUUCGGUGAAACUUUCGGACCGUGGCUUGGACGCCUCACGGCGACUAAAUCGUGGGAAGUUAUUUAAACCUCAUCAUUUAGAGGAAGGUGAAGUCGUAACAAGGUUUCCGUAGGUGAACCUGCAGAAGGAUCAA
rnacentral:rRNA from 1 species